CGGACUGGGAACGGCUCUCU
rnacentral:ncRNA from 2 species